CACGGUAACGCGGAAGAGCUUGCUCUCUGGCGACGAGUGGCGGACGGGUGAGUAACAUAUAGGAAUCUGCCCUGAAGUGGGGAACAACCCUGGGAAACCAGGGCUAAUACCGCAUACCCUCUACGGAGGAAAGCCGGGGACCUUCGGGCCUGGCGCUUCGGGAUGAGCCUAUAUCCGAUUAGCUAGUUGGUAGAGUAACGGCCUACCAAGGCGACGAUCGGUAGCUGGUCUGAGAGGAUGAUCAGCCACACUGGGACUGAGACACGGCCCAGACUCCUAGGGGAAGCAGCAGUGGGGAAUAUUGGACAAUGGGCGAAAGCCUGAUCCAGCAAUGCCGCGUGUGUGAAGAAGGCCUGCGGGUUGUAAAGCACUUUCAGGAGGGAAGAAAAGCCUAUGGACAAUACCCAUGGGUCUUGACGUUACCUCCAGAAGAAGCACCGGCUAACUCCGUGCCAGCAGCCGCGGUAAUACGAAGGGC
rnacentral:rRNA from 1 species